rnacentral:rRNA from 1 species
UACAGAGGUCUCAAGCGUUGUUCGGAUUCAUUGGGCGUAAAGGGUGCGUAGGUGGCGCUGUAAGUCGGGUGUGAAAUUUCAGAGCUUAACUCCGAAACUGCAUUCGAUACUGCGGUGCUUGAGGACUGGAGAGGAGACUGGAAUUCAUGGUGUAGCAGUGAAAUGCGUAGAGAUCAUGAGGAAGACCAGUGGCGAAGGCGGGUCUCUGGACAGUUCCUGACACUGAGGCACGAAGGCCAGGGGAGCAAACGGG